UAUUAAUAAGCGGANGAAAAGAAACCAACAGGGAUUCCCUUAGUAAGGGCGACUGAACCGGGAAGAGCCCAGCGCAUAACCUCGCCGUCCUCCGGGCGCGAGGGGUGUUGCGUUUCAGAGGGUCCAGCACGCCGCCCCAUACCGUCUAAGUCAAGCUUGAAAGCUGCCACUACCCGAGGAGGGUGAGAGGCCCGUAUGGCGGCGCCCGCGAGGGCACAGAUGGGGCGGUCGGAAAGGACGACGACCUGUCUCUGUAGAGUCGGGUUGCUUGAGAAUGCAGCCCAAAGUAGGUGGUAAACUCCAUCUAAGGCUAAAUAUGACCACGAGACCGAUAGCCGAACAAGUACCGUGAGGGAAAGUUGAAA
rnacentral:rRNA from 1 species